rnacentral:rRNA from 1 species
UAUGUAGGGGGCAAGCGUUGUCCGGAAUCAUUGGGCGUAAAGCGCGUGUAGGCGGCUCGGUAAGUCUGCUGUGAAAGUCCAGGGCUCAACCCUGGGAUGCCGGUGGAUACUGUCGAGCUCGAGUCCGGAAGAGGCAAGUGGAAUUCCUGGUGUAGCGGUGAAAUGCGCAGAUAUCAGGAGGAGCACCGAUGGCGAAGGCAGCUCGCUGGGACGUGACUGACGCUGAGACGCGAAAGCGUGGGGAGCAAACAGG